rnacentral:rRNA from 1 species
AUAUUGGACAAUGGGGGCAACCCUGAUCCAGCGACGCCGCGUGUGUGAAGAAGGCCUGCGGGUUGUAAAGCACUUUUAGUGGGGAUGAAAAGCCGGGGGCUAAUACCUUCCGGUCUUGACCUAACCCAAAGAAAAAGCACCGGCUAACUCUGUGCCAGCAGCCGCGGUAAUACAGAGGGUGCAAGCGUUAAUCGGAAUUACUGGGCGUAAAGCGUGCGUAGUCGGCUUUUCAAGUCGGGUGUGAAAGCCCCGGGCUCAACCUGGGAAUUGCAUUCGAUACUGGAUGGCUAGAGUUCGGCAGAGGGAAGCGGAAUUUCGGGUGUAGCGGUGAAAUGCGUAGAUAUCCGAAGGAACAUCAGUGGCGAAAGCGGCUUCCUGGACCAGAACUGACGAUCAGGCACGAAAGCGUGGGGAGCAAACAGG